rnacentral:misc_RNA from 1 species
GAUGAAGAACGUAGCGAAAUGCGAUAAGUAAUGUGAAUUGCAGAAUUCAGUGAAUCAUCGAAUCUUUGAACGCACAUUGCGCCCGCUAGUAUUCUGGCGGGCAUGCCUGUCCGAGCGUCAUUUCAACCCUCAAGCCCCCGGGCUUGGUGUUGGGGAUCGGCGAGCCUCCGCGCCCGCCGUCCCCUAAAUCUAGUGGCGGUCUCGCUGUAGCUUCCUCUGCGUAGUAGCACACCUCGCACUGGGAAACAGCGCGGCCACGCCGUUAAACCCCCAACUUCUGAACGUUUGACCUCGGAUCAGGUAGGAAUACCCGCUGAACGUAAGCAUAUCAAUAAGCGGAGGA